rnacentral:misc_RNA from 1 species
UCUCCGUAGGUGAACCUGCGGAGGGAUCAUUACAGAGUUCUCGCCCUCGCGGGUAGGUCUCCCACCCACUGUUAUCGUUACUGUCGUUUCUUUGGCGGGCCGCCGGGUCCCCGGCGGCCGGCGUCUAAUAGGCGGCGCGCGCCCGCCAGAAGCAUUCGCACCCUGAAUGUUGGUGUCGUCUGAGUACUAUAUAAUAGUUAAAACUUUCAACAACGGAUCUCUUGGUUCUG